CCUACGGGUGGCAGCAGUAGGGAAUAUUGCUCAAUGGGGGAAACCCUGAAGCAGCAACGCCGCGUGGAGGAUGAAGGUUUUCGGAUUGGAAACUCCUUUUGGUAGAGAAGAAAAUGACGGUAUCUAAAGAAUAAGCACCGGAUAACGCCGUGCCGGCAGCCGCGGUAAUACGGAGGGUGCAAGCGUUACUCGGAAUCACUGGGCGUAAAGAGCGCGUAGGCGGGAUAGCAAGUCAGAUGUGAAAUCCUAUGGCUUAACCAUAGAACUGCCUUUGAAACUGUUAUUCUAGAGUAUGGGAGAGGUAUGUGGAAUGCUUGGUGUAGCGGUAAAAUCCGUAGAGAUCACGCGGAAUACUCAUUGCGAAGGCGACCUGCUAGAACAUAACUGACGCUGAUGCGCGAAAGCGUGGGUAGCAAACAGGAUUAGAUACCCUUGUAGUC
rnacentral:rRNA from 1 species